rnacentral:rRNA from 1 species
UACGGAGGGUGCAAGCGUUAAUCGGAAUUACUGGGCGUAAAGCGCGCGUAGGCGGGUGAUUAAGUCAGAUGUGAAAGCCCAGGGCUCAACCUUGGAACUGCAUUUGAUACUGGUUACCUAGAGUACAGUAGAGGGGGGUGGAAUUUCAGGUGUAGCGGUGAAAUGCGUAGAUAUCUGAAGGAACAUCAGUGGCGAAGGCGACCCCCUGGACUGAUACUGACGCUGAGGUGCGAAAGCGUGGGUAGCGAACAGG